GAGGUGUUGGUGAAGGAGCAUCUUCUUCUUCAGCCUCCACCUGACAAGCUCUGAAUUUGAAGUACAUCUUAGGUACGUCUGAGCAGUGGGGGUCAGUGUCGUCACAUCAGCAGCCCUCCCCCCAGUGACUAAACCACUCUGGAAGAAGUGUUGCUUCAGCGCAGUCUUCACCUGAACCAGUGAGGU